GAGUCUUAAUUGGGCGUUAAGUUGCAGGGUAUAGACCCGAAACCCGGUGAUCUAGCCAUGGGCAGGUUGAAGGUUGGGUAACACUAACUGGAGGACCGAACCGACUAAUGUUGAAAAAUUAGCGGAUGACCUGUGGCUGGGGGUGAAAGGCCAAUCAAACCGGGAGAUAGCUGGUUCUCCCCGAAAGCUAUUUAGGUAGCGCCUCGUGAAUUCAUCUCCGGGGGUAGAGCACUGUUUCGGCUAGGGGGCCAUCCCGGCUUACCAACCCGAUGCAAACUGCGAAUACCGGAGAAUGUUAUCACGGGAGACACACGGCGGGUGCUAACGUCCGUCGUGAAGAGGGAAACAACCCAGACCGCCAGCUAAGGUCCCAAAGUCAUGGUUAAGUGGGAAACGAUGUGGGAAGGCCCAGACAGCCAGGAUGUUGGCUUAGAAGCAGCCAUCAUUUAAAGAAAGCGUAAUAGCUCACUGGUCGAGUCGGCCUGCGCGGAAGAUGUAACGGGGCUAAACCAUGCACCGAAGCUGCGGCAGCGACACUCAGGUGUUGUUGGGUAGGGGAGCGUUCUGUAAGCCUGCGAAGGUGGCCUGUGAGGGUUGCUGGAGGUAUCAGAAGUGCGAAUGCUGACAUAAGUAACGAUAAAGCGGGUGAAAAGCCCGCUCGCCGGAAGACCAAGGGUUCCUGUCCAACGUUAAUCGGGGCAGGGUGAGUCGACCCCUAAGGCGAGGCCGAAAGGCGUAGUCGAUGGGAAACGGGUUAAUAUUCCCGUACUUGGUGUUACUGCGAAGGGGGGACGGAGAAGGCUAUGUUGGCCGGGCGACGGUUGUCCCGGUUUAAGCGUGUAGGUGUGUGUUCCAGGUAAAUCCGGUUCACUUUAACACUGAGGCGUGACGACGAGGCACUACGGUGCUGAAGCAACAAAUGCCCUGCUUCCAGGAAAAGCCUCUAAGCAUCAGGUAACAUCAAAUCGUACCCCAAACCGACACAGGUGGUCAGGUAGAGAAUACCAAGGCGCUUGAGAGAACUCGGGUGAAGGAACUAGGCAAAAUGGUGCCGUAACUUCGGGAGAAGGCACGCUGACACGUAGGUGAAGUGAUUUACUCAUGGAGCUGAAGUCAGUCGAAGAUACCAGCUGGCUGCAACUGUUUAUUAAAAACACAGCACUGUGCAAACACGAAAGUGGACGUAUACGGUGUGACGCCUGCCCGGUGCCGGAAGGUUAAUUGAUGGGGU
rnacentral:rRNA from 1 species